rnacentral:rRNA from 1 species
UCCUACGGGAGGCAGCAGUGGGGAAUGUUGCACAAUGGGCGCAAGCCUGAUGCAGCAACGCCGCGUGAGGGACGAAGGCCUUCGGGUUGUAAACCUCUUUUAGUAGGGAAGAAGCGACUGGGUUUUCCUGGGAGUGACGGUACCUGCAGAAAAAGCACCGGCUAACUACGUGCCAGCAGCCGCGGUAAUACGUAGGGUGCAAGCGUUGUCCGGAAUUAUUGGGCGUAAAGAGCUCGUAGGCGGUUUGUCGCGUCUGCUGUGAAAACCCGAGGCUCAACCUCGGGCCUGCAGUGGGUACGGGCAGACUAGAGUGCGGUAGGGGAGAUUGGAAUUCCUGGUGUAGCGGUGGAAAGCGCAGAUAUCAGGAGGAACACCAAUGGCGAAGGCAGAUCUCUGGGCCGUAACUGACGCUGAGGAGCGAAAGCAUGGGGAGCGAACAGGAUUAGAUACCCUGGUAGUCCAUGCCGUAAACGUUGGGAACUAGAUGUGGGGACCAUUCCACGGUCUCCGUGUCGCAGCUAACGCAUUAAGUUCCCCGCCUGGGGAGUACGGCCGCAAGGCUAAAACUCAAAGGAAUUGACGGGGGCCCGCACAAGCGGCGGAGCAUGCGGAUUAAUUCGAUGCAACGCGAAGAACCUUACCAAGGCUUGACAUAUACCGGAAACGGCUGGAAACAGUCGCCCCGCAAGGUCGGUAUACAGGUGGUGCAUGGUUGUCAUCAGCUCGUGUCGUGAGAUGUUGGGUUAAGUCCCGCGACAAGCGCAACCCUCGUCCUAUGUUGCCAGCACGUAAUGGUGGGAACUCAUGGGAUACUGCCGGGGUCAACUCGGAGGAAGGUGGGGAUGACGUCAAAUCAUCAUGCCCCUUAUGUCUUGGGCUUCACGCAUGCUACAAUGGCCGGUACAAAGGGCUGCGAUACCGCAAGGUGGAGCGAAUCCCAAAAAGCCGGUCUCAGUUCGGAUCGAGGUCUGCAACUCGACCUCAUGAAGUCGGAGUCGCUAGUAAUCGCAGAUCAGCAACGCUGCGGUGAAUACGUUCCCGGGCCUUGUACACACCGCC